rnacentral:rRNA from 1 species
GUACAGUGGCGCACGGGUGAGUAACACGUAGGUGACCUGCCCUUCAGCGGGGGAUAACUAGAAGAAAUUUUAGCUAAUACCGCGUACGAAAUAGCAACUUGAAUGAGCUAUUUGAAAGGAUGCCUCUUUACAAUGCAUUCGCUGAGGGAUGGGCCUGCGGGACAUUAGCUUGAUGGUGGGGUAACGGCCUACCAUGGCGACGAUGUCUAGCCGGAUUGAGAGAUUGAUCGGCCACACUGGAACUGAGACACGGUCCAGACUCCUACGGGAGGCAGCAGUGGGGAAUAUUGCGCAAUGGACGAAAGUCUGACGCAGCAACGCCGCGUGAGUGAGGAAGGGUCUCGGCCUGUAAAACUCUGUCAAAGUGGAAGAACGGGUAAGGGUCCAAUAGGCCUUUAUUUUGACGGUACACUUAAAGGAAGCACCGGCUAACUUCGUGCCAGCAGCCGCGGUAAUACGAAGGGUGCAAGCGUUGUUCGGAUUUAUUGGGCGUAAAGCGCGCGCAGGCGGAUGGAUAAGUCAGAUGUGAAAUCUCGGGGCUCAACCUCGAAACUGCGUCUGAAACUGUUCAUCUAGAAUCUUGGAGAGGGAAGUGGAAUUUCGCAUGUAGGGGUAAAAUCCGUAGAGAUGCGAAGGAACAUCGGAGGCGAAGGCGACUUCCUGGACAAGUAUUGACGCUGAGGCGCGAAAGCGUGGGGAGCAAACAGGAUUAGAUACCCUGGUAGUCCACGCUGUAAACGAUGAGAACUAGAUAUGGGUGACUUUGACCUCUUCCGUAUCGUAGCUAACGCAUUAAGUUCUCCGCCUGGGGAGUACGGUCGCAAGACUAAAACUCAAAGGA